rnacentral:rRNA from 1 species
AAUCAACGCUGGCGGCGUGCCUCAGACAUGCAAGUCGAACGAUUAAAGCUCUCUUCGGAGAGUGUAUAGAGUGGCGCACGGGUGAGUAACACGUAAGUAAUCUACCUUUGAGUGGGGAAUAACAAUCGGAAACGAUUGCUAAUACCGCAUAAUGCAGCGGCAUCGCAAGAUGACAGUUGUUAAAGGAGCAAUCCGCUUAAAGAGGAGCUUGCGGCAGAUUAGCUAGUUGGUAAGGUAAUGGCUUACCAAGGCUACGAUCUGUAUCCGGUCUAAGAGGACGGUCGGACACACUGACACUGAAUAACGGGUCAGACUCCUACGGGAGGCAGCAGUCGGGAAUUUUGGGUCAAUGGGCGAAAAGCCUGACCCAGCAACGCCGCGUGAGGGAUGACGG